rnacentral:rRNA from 1 species
UACAGAGGGUGCAAGCGUUAAUCGGAAUUACUGGGCGUAAAGCGUGCGUAGACGGUUAUUUAAGUCGGGUGUGAAAGCCCCGGGCUCAACCUGGGAAUUGCAUUCGAGACUGAAUAGCUAGGGUGCGGAAGAGGGAAGCGGAAUUUCCGGUGUAGCGGUGAAAUGCGUAGAUAUCGGAAGGAACACCAGUGGCGAAGGCGGCCCCCUGGACAAAGACUGACGCUCAGGUGCGAAAGCGUGGGGAGCAAACAGG